CAGCCGUAAACUAUGCUCGCUAGGUGUCAGGCAUGGCGCGACCGUGUCUGGUGCCGCAGGGAAGCCGUGAAGCGAGCCACCUGGGAAGUACGGCCGCAAGGCUGAAACUUAAAGGAAUUGGCGGGGGAGCACCACAACAGGUGGAGCCUGUGGUUUAAUUGGACUCAACGCCGGACAACUCACCGGGGACGACAGCAAUAUGUAGGCCAGGCUGAAGACCUUGCCUGAAUCGCUGAGAGGAGGUGCAUGGCGUAGACGUCU
rnacentral:rRNA from 1 species